UGCUCAAAGAGAUUUGUACAGAUGUGU
rnacentral:piRNA from 1 species